UGACAGAACCAAACUGCCUCCAGGGA
rnacentral:piRNA from 1 species